CUACGGGUGGCACCAGUGGGGAAUAUUGCACAAUGGGCGCGAGCCUGAUGCAGCCAUGCCGCGUGUAUGAAGAAGGCCUUCGGGUUGUAAAGUACUUUCAGCGGGGAGGAAGGGAGUAAAGUUAAUACCUUUGCUCAUUGACGUUACCCGCAGAAGAAGCACCGGCCAACUCCGUGCCAGUAGCCGCGGUAAUACGGAGGGUGCAAGCGUUAAUCGGAAUUACUGGGCGUAAAGCGCACGCAGGCGGUUUGUUAAGUCAGAUGUGAAAUCCCCGGGCUCAACCUGGGAACUGCAUCUGAUACUGGCAAGCUUGAGUCUCGUAGAGGGGGGUAGAAUUCCAGGUGUAGCGGUGAAAUGCGUAGAGAUCUGGAGGAAUACCGGUGGCGAAGGCGGCCCCCUGGACGAAGACUGACGCUCAGGUGCGAAAGCGUGGGGAGCAAACAGGAUUAGAUACCCGAGUAGUC
rnacentral:rRNA from 1 species